ACACACUAACUACUUCUAAACAUUGCCAUCCCCUGCUCUCACAUCAGGAGCUCCAGAUCAUGUCCUGUGGGGACACCAAAUGGGCACAAGCCACCAGACCAUUCCAGCUCACCAGCCCUGCCUCCUCCAACUGAACCAGGCUCCAGAUGCUGGCACAGAUCGCAGCCCGGUGACCUCCGGGUUCAUUCACCUUGACUUUAUUCUCCUCCUCGACCCUACACCCUGCUCACCAAUCUCCUUGGCCACUCUGCCCCACCCCCUACUCCUGUCCAGCUCCCCUUGUCCAGAGAUUUCCCAGGUGGGUGCCUCCCAGGGCAGCACUACAGGGCCAAGGGAAGAUAAACCCCAAUUCUCUUUCGGGAAAUUGAGGCAAGAUAGGGACCAUUUCCAUUUAUGUGAAAUUUCCAGAAGAGGCAAAUCUGGAGACAAAAAGUGCCUUAGUGGUUGCCAGGGGCUGGAGGAAAGGUAGGACUGUGAGAGUGAUGGAUAGAGGGCACAGGGUUUCUCUUAGUGCUGAUGAAAACGUUCUAAAUUCUGCUGGGGUGGUGGGUGCACAGCGAUGUGAAUAUACUAAAAAUCUGAAUUGUACACUUCUGACAGGUGAAUUCAGAUGUGGAUUCUACCUUAAUGAAGCUGUUUUUAAAAAAAAAAAAGACUGCCAGAAUGGUAAAGAACCACCACCCCCCACCCCCAGCCGCAAAAGCCUGCAGAAGGGCAGGAGAGCCCAUGCUUAACUGUGGGGAUCACCCCUUCCUGGCGGACUCAGGAAGGGAGGAGCCUGAGGCUGAUCCAAAAGCAGAGGUUAGGGGCUGGUAACCAGCAGCCCCUCCCAGAAGCCAGGGAAGGAAGGGGGCAUACACACGGCUCAGACUUUAUCAACCAGAACAACCGUUGCCUCCAAAUGACAUUCUGUAUAAACAGAUGCUCCACAAGCCACAGUCAGAACAUACAUUAUUAUUACAGUAUUAUUAUGUUCCACAACCUCUUCCACUACUUCCCUCUAGCCCAAAAGACAGAGCUCUCCCCACCAAGCCCUCCGGGGCCAUACUUGGGUACCCCACAGCUGAAGGGUCUGCACCCCAUACUGCUCCUCAGACAACUCACCUUCACAGGGUCCUCUUCCCUGCCAGGGGCUAGGAGCUGGGGUGUGGCACCUGGCUAUCUGGGUCUGCGGUAGGAACAGGGGGCCUCCACCCUUGAGUUCUUAUCUUCACAGGCUGACCAGGGCCAGCCUUAUGUCUCACCCCACUGGGACAGCCCCACAGUAUCUUUGCUAGGACCCUCCUUCCUGCCCGUACAAAACCGUGAGCCAAUCACACUGCCCUGAGGAGCAGACGGAGCCUAGCUGAGGAUGUAUAUGCCUUUCUCCCCAGGCAUCCUGGAACCACCUGGCAAGUCACUCGCUCCUUAAACCUCACACAAGCAUCACUCAUGCAUCACCUGCCCCUGCUUUGAUGUGUCUGUGCAGCAGAUCUGAGCUAAUGGCUGUGGAUGCAAUGAUGGACAACGGAGCUGACCUGAGGGAGCAGAAGUAGAUCCUACAAAAGAAAGAGAUCUUAGCAUUGACAAUAGGAGGAAGGGUGGGACUAACUGGAUGGAUGUGUGAGUGUCAUCAGAGACAUUUGAGGUGAGCUCUUCUCAUGACCAAAGAGACCCAGGAACCAUACCUGCUGGACAGACAGUGCACAGAUCUCAUACAGUGAUGAAGACCUCACUGUGACCCAGGCCAGAGCAGUCAGGACUCACCAGAUGUCCCCUCCCUCCCUUGGCAGUCCCCUAAGAAUUAGGAAGUGGAGGCACACAAUUGGGCACCUGGAUUUGCCUUCUGCUUGCCCAUGACCAAUGUCCUGAGCAGCAAGACAGGGACAGACAUAGCCCCACUCCAUGUAAAUACCCAGGGAGCCCUCAAACAGUGCACACCCCACUGUGUCCUCACCAUAGGACCCAUUCACCUCUGACCUGGCUGAGCAUGGAGGGGCACAGCUGCACUUCCUGAUGCUAGGGCUCGAGCAUGCCCCCCAGAAGGGGUGACAUACCCAGCAGGGUCUUGGGUGAUCUACAGGCUCGCAUGGGCCAUGAUGGUUUCCCAGUCCCCCUCACAGUAGACUGGAGCCAUGUGGCCAAUGGGUAUAAGUGAUACAAGCCAUUUGCAGCCCUGGCUCUAAAAUCCUCCUGCUCAACCUCCCAGACCCACCUGUAUGCCCCACCACAGCCACCAUGGAGUUAUAUUCCAGACGCACAGCCACGAUGGAGGAAGACAGCUUGGCCUACCUCAGCCUUGGUGUAAGUGAGAAACAAAUCUUUCCUAGAAUAAGCCAUCAAGAUAUUUGAGUUUAUCAGCAUGGAAAGGCAUGGCCUAAUUCUGUGUUGAUUAAUCCAACAGCUCUUUUGUGUUUUAUGAAACCACCUUCACUGCAAGUUCCCAAAGAAUGAUUUAAAGAACUCUUGUGAGCAACCCAAUUCAAAAUGGAGAACUGAGAUGUUUCUGAUCCCUUCUCUUCUCAACAAUCCCCCAAAAUAAGUAAACAGAGAAGCAGAAACACAAUGAUGAGAGAUGCGGACUCCUUAAUCAUGAUGAAGCCAGGAAGCUGAGAGAGGAUGGCUGGGUGACCUAGGGACCCAGGGGGCAAAGCUAGCAACCUUCAGGGUGGGGGCAGAGAAUAGCACUUAGCUAAUGUGUCCCCCAAAGAACUCUCCCAAAUAAUGGAAAUUUGAUAACUUGAAGUUAGGGUGAUGCACAGACACUGCAAAAUCCAAUUAAGAAAUGUGGACCCUGCCCACCUCCAUAUAUUAAGGCACACUCUCCCAGACCCAAAGGGAUCUGAGGCCCAUUCUUGAGGGGAGCGAACCAGAGAGUUCUCAGGCUCAGGGAUGUCAGCUCACAGAGGGUGGGGUCGAGUAGCACUGAACAGAGGAAAACUGAAUAGUAGUCUCCACCCUGAUGGUGACAGCCCCACCCCAGCAGCCUCAGAAGCCAGACCAAUCCCCUAGCCCCUACCCCACCCGCGGCAGGAAACCAGAGGAUCCUUCCCUGGAGAAGAGCUCUCCCAGAGAAAAGACCUACAAAUAUAUUGACAUUUGGGAGUCAUAUUGGAAAGGAGGCUGUCCACCCAUCACCCUAUAGCAAAGCCCAUGGUCAUUGUCAGGGCCCACCAGGGCUUCAGACUUUAGACACAUCUGAGUGCUUUAGACUCCAAAAGCGGUAUCUGGAUCCCUCCAUCCCCCACAGGGAGGGCACAAAUACCCAGCUCCAUCCUCAUCAUCCAGGUGCAAUCAUCAGCAGGUGUGUGUUUUGCACCAUUUCUCAAGAGUUCUCAGCACAUGCAGUAAGGUGGUUCCACACAUGUAGUAAGGUGGUUGACUUAAUACCAAACCCUUUCUUGGCCACCUCCCUUUCCAUGUUUCUUUCACCUCCCAAAUAAACUGCUUGCCCUCAAAUCUUCAUCUCAGGAUCAGCUUCUAGAGGGAACAAUACAAGCGCCCCACAUAGACAUGGCCCCCAAUCAGCUUGUGUGCUUUGCUUUUAAAUAUGAGGGGACAGAGAGAGAGAUCCCCAGAUAUUUAAGAAAAGCCUCCAGCAUGGACAACAGAGACCAAAGCAAGAAAUGUGAAAAUUCAGAACUGCUCUGGAAGCCAGCCUCCUCCACAACAGCAGCCUCCUGGUAAUCAUGUCCCUGUGUCCUCCCUCAUACAUUGUGUCACAGAUAGAAGAGAUGAUGGUUACUCAUGAGAUUAAGUUAUAAAAAGCACUGCAGCUUCCACCUCGUUCUCUCUCUCCCUCUCAGAUUACCUGGUUUGGAGGAAGCCAACUACCACGUCCAGCAGCCAUGUGGAGAGGCCCAUGCAGUGAGGAAUUGAGAAGUCAGGCCAUCACCAAGUGACUAAGUUCAAAAGCAGAUCCUUCAACUCCACUGAAGCGUUAAAUGACUUCAGGCUUGGCUGAUAUAUUGGCUGCAAACUCAUGAGAGACCCUGAGCCAGACCUGCCCAGCUAGGACAUACCAGACACCUGGCCCACAGAAACCAUAAGAUGAAAAACAUUCGUCAUCUUAAGCCACUGUGUUUGGGAUAAUUUGUUACACAGCAUGAGAUAACUAGUACAAGUACCUACUUCGCAAAGAGAACACUUCAAAGAAUGUACCAUUAAUAUCUUCACAGAGAUGAGAAAAGCUAUUGCCAUCCAUGAAACAAGAAGAAAUAAUCGGAGAACAAGAAUGCCUGGAAGUAAAAAAUAUAAUAAUAUAAAUUUAAGUCAAUAGAAUCCUUGGAAAAUUAAGAAAAUUCGCAGAAAGCGGAACAAAAAGUCAAAAAAGUGUACCAUAGGAGUUCCCGUCAUGGCGCAGUUAACGAAUCCGACUGGGAACCAUGAGGUUGCGGGUUUGGUCCCUGCCCUUGCUCAGUGGGCUAAGGAUCCGGUGUUGCCAAGAGCUGUGGUGUGGAUUGCAGAUGGGGCUCUGAUCCCGAGUUGCUGUGGCUCUGGCGUAGGCCGGUGGCUACAGCUCCGAUUCGACCCCUAGCCUGGAACCUCCAUAGCCGAAGGAGCAGCCCAAGAAAUAGCAAAAAUAUAAAAAAAAAUAAUAAUACCAGAAACCUUCCCAGAACUGAAGGGCACAAGCCUUCAGAUUGAAGAGCAUACCAAGUAUCUAAACAAUAAAAGAACAAAGGCACAUCUUUAUGACAUUUUAGAACACAGAAGAUAAAAGCUUCCAGAGUGAAGAAAGUCAGGUCAUAAAAUAGGACCAAAAAUUUGAAUGGCAUCAGACUUCUCAACAGCAGCCUGGAAACCAGAAUUCAAUGGGAAAAUGCCAUCAAAAUUCUAGGUAAAAAUAAUUUCAAAACCAGGAGUCUAUGUUCAAACUGAACAUGAAAACAGAAAAUGCAUGUCAGUUGUUCUAAAAGAAUGCUCCUCCUCUAGAGAGGAAAUAAAAAGAUGAAGCUGCAAGAUCUAGGAAGUACAGCCUCCAUCAGAGGAAUAAGCAGAGCAAAGUCUUGGACAAGAGCCAUAUAGCAGCCUGGGGCAGCCAAUGCAGGCUGGAGCAGGUGUCAAAAGGCUCCAGGGAGAAAAGAGGGCUGAUCAACUACCUGACAGGACUGACCUCAUGGAAGCUUGCAGGUUGGAGGGCCUGUGAAAGCCUAAGAAGUUAUUAACUCCAGGAUAAACAAAAAGUUGU
rnacentral:lncRNA from 1 species